rnacentral:rRNA from 1 species
AUUAAUAUUAUUCAAUAAAAAAUUAAUUUUAACAGAUCCUUUGUCCUUUCGUACUAAAAAAAUCCUA